rnacentral:rRNA from 1 species
GUGGGGAAUAUUGGGCAAUGGACGCAAGUCUGACCCAGCGACGCCGCGUGAGGGAUGAAGGCCUUCGGGUUGUAAACCUCUUUCAGUGGGGAAGAAGCGAAAGUGACGGUACCCAAAGAAGAAGCACCGGCUAACUAUGUGCCAGCAGCCGCGGUAAUACAUAGGGUGCAAGCGUUGUCCGGAAUUAUUGGGCGUAAAGAGCUCGUAGGUCGUUUGACACGUCGGAUGUGAAAAUCUGAGGCUUAACCUCAGACCUGCAUUCGAUACGGUCAAACUAGAGUGUGGUAGGGGAGACUGGAAUUCCUGGUGUAGCGGUGGAAUGCGCAGAUAUCAGGAGGAACACCAAUGGCGAAGGCAGGUCUCUGGGCCAUUACUGACACUGAGGAGCGAAAGCGCGGGGAGCGAACAGGAUUAGAUACCCGUGUAGUCC